rnacentral:ribozyme from 1 species
CAAAACAAACAAACGACAAACAAGCAAGAGCAGAAGCAGACAGACAUGCAAGCAGAACAAGCUAUUCGAAAACCAGAAAGUGUCUCUCAUUUUUUGUUUUGUUUUCGUUUUGUUUUUGUUUC